UGGGGAUGGACUUAAAGAACACA
rnacentral:piRNA from 1 species